GAUGAACGCUGGCGGCGUGCCUAAUACAUGCAAGUCGAGCGAACAGACGAGGAGCUUGCUCCUCUGACGUUAGCGGCGGACGGGUGAGUAACACGUGGAUAACCUACCUAUAAGACUGGGAUAACUUCGGGAAACCGGAGCUAAUACCGGAUAAUAUAUUGAACCGCAUGGUUCAAUAGUGAAAGACGGUUUUGCUGUCACUUAUAGAUGGAUCCGCGCCGCAUUAGCUAGUUGGUAAGGUAACGGCUUACCAAGGCAACGAUGCGUAGCCGACCUGAGAGGGUGAUAGGUCACACUGGAACUGGGACACGGUCCAGACUCCUACGGGAGGCAGCAGUAGGGAACCUUCCGCAAUGGGCGAAAGCCUGACGGAGCAACGCCGCGUGAGUGAUGAAGGUCUUCGGAUCGUAAAACUCUGUUAUUAGGGAAGAACAAAUGUGUAAGUAACUAUGCACGUCUUGACGGUACCUAAUCAGAAAGCCACGGCUAACUACGUG
rnacentral:rRNA from 1 species